AUUAGCUCCGUUGCAGGAAACCUUUCAAUUCCAAAUUUUAAAAAACUAUAUGUAUUAUCUUAACCAUCCACGGAUCAAACAUUGGUUUCCAUGAAAAUGAAAUUCUUUUAACAUUAAUGCCACUGCAGUUAUUUUUUUCCAUAAAUUAGCACCAGAAAUAAAAAUGAUAAUGAAAUGUAAAAGUCAUGGUUUUGGAAAUGGUGUAUUAAGUUACAAAUAGCGAGCCUUAGUUCUCUGGAUAGAGAUGGGGCUAAAUGACCUUACAAUCAACCAGAGAUGGCAAUCAUAGAUUCCAGGGAUCGAACUCAGGACUUUGCACUUUCGAGGCAGGCGCCAGGACCACUGAGCUAAAUCCCCAGUUGACAUAUCUUGAUUGAGAAUGCUACCAGGCUAAAAGUGACUGGGGCCUCUGAAUGUUAAACAUGAUGGAAAUCUCAAAGAUCAUCUGCGAACUCUGUUCUCCGGAGUAAUCUGGGCAAAGUAAUAGACUCAGAAAAGGUAACUAACUAAUUUGGGGCAAAAACAAAACCUGGAAGCUUACUUUAAGCUUUUACUUCUACAGAUACCUUGUUGUGUGCUGUUUGCCCAAGCCUGUGUGUCCUUGGGGGCCGCUUGAACUGCUCUCAUGGAGGACUGGGAGUAGCUUGUGGAGCUGAGACCUUAACCCUGAUCUAAUAGCCACCGAUUUCCACCGUAGCAAAUCCCUGUAUCCGUGGUGCUCACAUUCAUAGGAAAAUGAAAAGAC
rnacentral:lncRNA from 1 species